rnacentral:rRNA from 1 species
CCAUGCCUUCAAAUUAAACCCAACGAAGAUUAGCUAGUUGGUGAGGUAACGGCUCACCAAGGCGACGAUCUCUAGCUGUUCUGAGAGGAUGAUCAGCCACACUGGGACUGAGACACGGCCCAGACUCCUACGGGAGGCAGCAGUGGGGAAUAUUGGACAAUGGGCGCAAGCCUGAUCCAGCCAUGCCGCGUGUGUGAAGAAGGCCUUCGGGUUGUAAAGCACUUUCAGUGGUGAGGAAGGCGUUGUAGUUAAUAGCUGCAACGAUAGACGUUAGCCACAGAAGAAGCACCGGCUAACUCCGUGCCAGCAGCCGCGGUAAUACGGAGGGUGCGAGCGUUAAUCGGAAUUACUGGGCGUAAAGCGCACGUAGGCGGCUUGUUAAGCAAGAUGUGAAAGCCCAGGGCUCAACCUUGGAAUUGCAUUUUGAACUGGCAAGCUAGAGUUUUGAAGAGGGUGGUAGAAUUUCCAGUGUAGCGGUGAAAUGCGUAGAUAUUGGAAGGAAUACCAGUGGCGAAGGCGGCCACCUGGUCAAAAACUGACGCUGAGGAGCGAAAGCGUGGGGAGCAAACAG